ACUGCAAGUCGUGCCGAAUGUGAUCUCGAUGAGCUUGCUCUCAAGAAGUUAGCGGCGGACGGGUGAGUAACACGUGGGUAACCUGCCCAUAAGACUGGGAUAACUCCGGGAAACCGGGGCUAAUACCGGAUAACAUUUUGAACUGCAUGGUUCGAAAUUGAAAGGCGGCUUCGGCUGUCACUUAUGGAUGGACCCGCGUCGCAUUAGCUAGUUGGUGAGGUAACGGCUCACCAAGGCAACGAUGCGUAGCCGACCUGAGAGGGUGAUCGGCCACACUGGGACUGAGACACGGCCCACACUCCUACGGGAGGCAGCAGUAGGGAAUCUUCCGCAAUGGACGAAAGUCUGACGGAACAACGCCGCGUGAGUGAUGAAGGCUUUCGGGUCGUAAAACUCUG
rnacentral:rRNA from 1 species